GAUGAACGCUGGCGGCGUGCUUAACACAUGCAAGUCGAACGGAAAGGCCCUGCUUUUGUGGGGUGCUCGAGUGGCGAACGGGUGAGUAACACGUGAGUAACCUGCCCUUGACUUUGGGAUAACUUCAGGAAACUGGGGCUAAUACCGGAUAGGAGCUCCUGCUGCAUGGUGGGGGUUGGAAAGUUUCGGCGGUUGGGGCUGGACUCGCGGCUUAUCAGCUUGUUGGUGGGGUAGUGGCUUACCAAGGCUGUGACGGGUAGCCGGCCUGAGAGGGUGACCGGGCACAUUGGGACUGCGAGACGGAGCAGAAGGCUACGGGAGGCAGUAGGGGGGAACAUGGCACAAUGGGCGGAAGCCUGAGGCAGAAACGUUGCGUGCGGGAUGCCGGCCUUCGGGUGGUAAACCGCUUUCGCCUGUGACGAAGCGUGAGUGACGGUAAUGGGUAAAGAAGCACCGGCUAACUACGUG
rnacentral:rRNA from 1 species